UACGUAGGGUGCAAGCGUUAAUCGGAAUUACUGGGCGUAAAGCGUGCGCAGGCGGUUAUGUAAGACAGUUAGUGAAAUCCCCGGGCUCAACCUGGGAAUUGCAUCUGUGACUGCAUAGCUAGAGUACGGUAGAGGGGGAUGGAAUUCCGCGUGUAGCAGUGAAAUGCGUAGAUAUGCGGAGGAACACCGAUGGCGAAGGCAAUCCCCUGGACCUGUACUGACGCUCAUGCACGAAAGCGUGGGGAGCAAACAGG
rnacentral:rRNA from 1 species